UACGUAGGGCGCGAGCGUUGUCCGGAAUCAUUGGGCGUAAAGAGCUCGUAGGCGGCCUGUCGCGUCUGCUGUGAAAUCCCGGGGCUUAACCCCGGGCGUGCAGUGGAUACGGGCUGGCUGGAGGCAGGCAGGGGAGAACGGAAUUCCCGGUGUAGCGGUGAAAUGCGCAGAUAUCGGGAGGAACACCGGUGGCGAAGGCGGUUCUCUGGGACGGUACUGACGCUGAGACGCGAAAGCGUGGGGAGCGAACAGG
rnacentral:rRNA from 1 species